UUUGGAUGAUACAAUAGCUCUUCAAUUAAGAAUUGGUGCAUAAGGUAAACAGCUUCUGAAUUGACGAAUCCCCAGUACAAUAGUUCUAUGGUAUUGCAAGCCUGUAGCACAACCAAAGUAAGAUAUAUUCUUAUGGAAUCUAAAUUUUAUAAUUGAAAACCAAAAAUAACGAUGAUAUAAAAGCAUUUUAUAGUUGCAUGAUCACUUUGUUGAUUCUAAAACAUAAUACCUGGAAAUAAUAUAGACUGACAAUAAUUUUGGAAGAUAAUUCGUUUACUUUUGGGCGAAUUAGAGUUGUGCAGAUUAAACUUAACCCCCAAUAUAAAACACUAUGGAGUGCAUGAAAGAGAUACAAUUCCGGUUUCAAUCUGUUCUGGGAAUUCAAUGAGAGAGAGAGAGAGAGAGAGAGAGAGAGAGAGAGAGAGAGAGAGAGAGAGAUUGUUAUUAACCAAGAAACGUUUGUGAAGAAGAAUGAUGGAUAGCAAUGGAUGAUGAACACAGAUGAGGACUUUGUGCGAUGAGAUUGAGAGAGAGGUUCUCUCUAAGGAUUUGUGUCAU
rnacentral:lncRNA from 1 species